UACGUAGGGUGCAAGCGUUAAUCGGAAUUACUGGGCGUAAAGCGUGCGCAGGCGGUUAUGUAAGACAGGUGUGAAAUCCCCGGGCUUAACCUGGGAACUGCAUUUGUGACUGCAUAGCUAGAGUACGGUAGAGGGGGAUGGAAUUCCGCGUGUAGCAGUGAAAUGCGUAGAUAUGCGGAGGAACACCGAUGGCGAAGGCAAUCCCCUGGACCUGUACUGACGCUCAAGCACGAAAGCGUGGGGAGCAAACGGG
rnacentral:rRNA from 1 species